ensembl:lncRNA
UUCUUGCCUUAUCGUAAGCCUUCUUUUGUUCCGCAGAUGUUUUCCUCUUUUGCUUUUUAUCCGCCAUCUCUAUCUUUCUGUCGUCGCUCGGCUUGGCUAAUAUCCGUCCUAUGCACUCACUAAGCACUCUCUCCCCCACAUCAUAAGUAGUCACGCCCCUACUGCUGAUUGGCUACAAAUUUGUUUUGGUACUACUCGGCCGACUCAGUUUACUAAAGCGUUUUUUGAAAAAAUGCAUACCCCACCUUUAACUGAAAACAAAAGACACAUUGAACUUACAUGCGAAAUAUUAACACUUGCUGCCAAUGAAGAGCAUUUCAAAGUCAAAUCAGUCACGUCAUCACAAUGAUGACUUUGGACUCAGUUAACUAGUGAUUUCCAAUUCACAAAUGAAUGACUCUUUUGAGUCAGUUCCUCUAUGUCGUGUUGGCACUAUGGUUUGAAUCGGUUCGAGUUUGCGAGGAGGAGGAAGGGUGACCGGGAGAGCUUGUGCAAUGCUCAACGGAAGCUGCGGCUCGUAGCGUCAAACGGCCGAGCACUUCCUGCCAGCGGCUCACUGCAACGGAAGGGAGAGCCCCGUCCGAUGCCGAGUAAGCAAUAAGACUCGAAAUUACGGAUGGGGGGCUCACACUUUUUACCUAAAAAUUAGUUGUCAACACUGGUGGCCUAUGCCACUAGCGGAAGCAGCCUCGCAUUAGCAUCUGUUACAGGAGCUGGAGGGCUGGCUGCAUAUGGCGCUGCGGCUGGAAGAGCUGCAAUGAAAAGGUGAGCUGAAGCGGGAAUCGAGUGAGGCCAUGCUGAUGUGAGAUCUGAGGCGCGACCCAGGAUCACUGAAGGCCUGCCGCUACAACCCAACGCUCGAGGAGAGCCGCAAACACUGAUUAUUUCUGACGCACAGUUCUCGUGGAGAAUGAACAAAGUGGAUCUGUACAAUCUAUUUAUCAACCUGCAAAUCAGCCAACCUCACUGCUAAAUCAACUCCAGCCCCCAAGUCAGCAAACAGAUCUGACAAAGUUCGCAAGGCCCCGAACUUGUCUCGCUUGACAGCACCAUCAUCCCGCACAAGACCCCCUCAGGCUUAAAUACUGUCCACUUUCUGAUCGGCUGAAUUUUUGGCACAGUUGAAUGAUAGGAAGAUGCCAGAAAACUGUCC